rnacentral:rRNA from 1 species
GGGUUGUGAGGUUAAGCGACUAAGCGUACACGGUGGAUGCCCUGGCAGUCAGAGGCGAUGAAGGACGUGCUAAUCUGCGAUAAGCGUCGGUAAGGUGAUAUGAACCGUUAUAACCGGCGAUUUCCGAAUGGGGAAACCCAGUGUGUUUCGACACACUAUCAUUAACUGAAUCCAUAGGUUAAUGAGGCGAACCGGGGGAACUGAAACAUCUAAGUACCCCGAGGAAAAGAAAUCAACCGAGAUUCCCCCAGUAGCGGCGAGCGAACGGGGAGCAGCCCAGAGCCUGAAUCAGUGUGUGUGUUAGUGGAAGCGUCUGGAAAGGCGCGCGAUACAGGGUGACAGCCCCGUACACAAAAAUGCACAUGCUGUGAGCUCGAUGAGUAGGGCGGGACACGUGGUAUCCUGUCUGAAUAUGGGGGGACCAUCCUCCAAGGCUAAAUACUCCUGACUGACCGAUAGUGAACCAGUACCGUGAGGGAAAGGCGAAAAGAACCCCGGCGAGGGGAGUGAAAAAGAACCUGAAACCGUGUACGUACAAGCAGUGGGAGCACGCUUAGGCGUGUGACUGCGUACCUUUUGUAUAAUGGGUCAGCGACUUAUAUUCUGUAGCAAGGUUAACCGAAUAGGGGAGCCGAAGGGAAACCGAGUCUUAACUGGGCGUUAAGUUGCAGGGUAUAGACCCGAAACCCGGUGAUCUAGCCAUGGGCAGGUUGAAGGUUGGGUAACACUAACUGGAGGACCGAACCGACUAAUGUUGAAAAAUUAGCGGAUGACUUGUGGCUGGGGGUGAAAGGCCAAUCAAACCGGGAGAUAGCUGGUUCUCCCCGAAAGCUAUUUAGGUAGCGCCUCGUGAAUUCAUCUCCGGGGGUAGAGCACUGUUUCGGCAAGGGGGUCAUCCCGACUUACCAACCCGAUGCAAACUGCGAAUACCGGAGAAUGUUAUCACGGGAGACACACGGCGGGUGCUAACGUCCGUCGUGAAGAGGGAAACAACCCAGACCGCCAGCUAAGGUCCCAAAGUCAUGGUUAAGUGGGAAACGAUGUGGGAAGGCCCAGACAGCCAGGAUGUUGGCUUAGAAGCAGCCAUCAUUUAAAGAAAGCGUAAUAGCUCACUGGUCGAGUCGGCCUGCGCGGAAGAUGUAACGGGGCUAAACCAUGCACCGAAGCUGCGGCAGCGACGCUUAUGCGUUGUUGGGUAGGGGAGCGUUCUGUAAGCCUGCGAAGGUGUGCUGUGAGGCAUGCUGGAGGUAUCAGAAGUGCGAAUGCUGACAUAAGUAACGAUAAAGCGGGUGAAAAGCCCGCUCGCCGGAAGACCAAGGGUUCCUGUCCAACGUUAAUCGGGGCAGGGUGAGUCGACCCCUAAGGCGAGGCCGAAAGGCGUAGUCGAUGGGAAACAGGUUAAUAUUCCUGUACUUGGUGUUACUGCGAAGGGGGGACGGAGAAGGCUAUGUUGGCCGGGCGACGGUUGUCCCGGUUUAAGCGUGUAGGCUGGUUUUCCAGGCAAAUCCGGAAAAUCAAGGCUGAGGCGUGAUGACGAGGCACUACGGUGCUGAAGCAACAAAUGCCCUGCUUCCAGGAAAAGCCUCUAAGCAUCAGGUAACAUCAAAUCGUACCCCAAACCGACACAGGUGGUCAGGUAGAGAAUACCAAGGCGCUUGAGAGAACUCGGGUGAAGGAACUAGGCAAAAUGGUGCCGUAACUUCGGGAGAAGGCACGCUGAUAUGUAGGUGAAGCGACUUGCUCGUGGAGCUGAAAUCAGUCGAAGAUACCAGCUGGCUGCAACUGUUUAUUAAAAACACAGCACUGUGCAAACACGAAAGUGGACGUAUACGGUGUGACGCCUGCCCGGUGCCGGAAGGUUAAUUGAUGGGGUCAGCGCAAGCGAAGCUCUUGAUCGAAGCCCCGGUAAACGGCGGCCGUAACUAUAACGGUCCUAAGGUAGCGAAAUUCCUUGUCGGGUAAGUUCCGACCUGCACGAAUGGCGUAAUGAUGGCCAGGCUGUCUCCACCCGAGACUCAGUGAAAUUGAACUCGCUGUGAAGAUGCAGUGUACCCGCGGCAAGACGGAAAGACCCCGUGAACCUUUACUAUAGCUUGACACUGAACAUUGAGCCUUGAUGUGUAGGAUAGGUGGGAGGCUUUGAAGUGUGGACGCCAGUCUGCAUGGAGCCGACCUUGAAAUACCACCCUUUAAUGUUUGAUGUUCUAACGUGGACCCGUAAUCCGGGUUGCGGACAGUGUCUGGUGGGUAGUUUGACUGGGGCGGUCUCCUCCUAAAGAGUAACGGAGGAGCACGAAGGUUGGCUAAUCCUGGUCGGACAUCAGGAGGUUAGUGCAAUGGCAUAAGCCAGCUUGACUGCGAGCGUGACGGCGCGAGCAGGUGCGAAAGCAGGUCAUAGUGAUCCGGUGGUUCUGAAUGGAAGGGCCAUCGCUCAACGGAUAAAAGGUACUCCGGGGAUAACAGGCUGAUACCGCCCAAGAGUUCAUAUCGACGGCGGUGUUUGGCACCUCGAUGUCGGCUCAUCACAUCCUGGGGCUGAAGUAGGUCCCAAGGGUAUGGCUGUUCGCCAUUUAAAGUGGUACGCGAGCUGGGUUUAGAACGUCGUGAGACAGUUCGGUCCCUAUCUGCCGUGGGCGCUGGAGAACUGAGGGGGGCUGCUCCUAGUACGAGAGGACCGGAGUGGACGCAUCACUGGUGUUCGGGUUGUCAUGCCAAUGGCACUGCCCGGUAGCUAAAUGCGGAAGAGAUAAGUGCUGAAAGCAUCUAAGCACGAAACUUGCCCCGAGAUGAGUUCUCCCUGACUCCUUGAGAGUCCUGAAGGAACGUUGAAGACGACGACGUUGAUAGGCCGGGUGUGUAAGCGCAGCGAUGCGUUGAGCUAACCGGUACUAAUGAACCGUGAGGCUUAACCUUACAACGCCGAAGCUGUU